rnacentral:rRNA from 1 species
CUGGCUCAGGAUGAACGCUAGCUACAGGCUUAACACAUGCAAGUCGAGGGGCAGCAUGAUCAAAGCUUGCUUGAUGAUGGCGACCGGCGCACGGGUGAGUAACGCGUAUCCAACCUUCCCUAUAGUAGUGGAUAGCCCGGCGAAAGUCGGAUUAAUACACUAUGUUGUAUUUAGAGGACACCUGAAGAAUACCAAAGGCUUGCCGCUAUAGGAUGGGGAUGCGUCUGAUUAGGUAGCAGGCGGGGUAACGGCCCACCUGGCCUACGAUCAGUAGGGGUUCUGAGAGGAAGGUCCCCCACAUUGGAACUGAGACACGGUCCAAACUCCUACGGGAGGCAGCAGUGAGGAAUAUUGGUCAAUGGACGGGAGUCUGAACCAGCCAAGUAGCGUGCAGGAUGACGGCCCUAUGGGUUGUAAACUGCUUUUAGUACGGGGAUAAAGUGAGCCACGUGUGGCUUUUGUAGGUACCGUAUGAAUAAGGACCGGCUAAUUCCGUGCCAGCAGCUGC